CCAGCUCUUAGUGACUCUAGCCCUCUCCCGCCCUCCUCUGCACCCUGCAUGCACUUGUGUUGCUGAAUGUGGCCGGAGAAAAACAGCAAUCUUGACUGUUCUGUGAGACUUCAUAAAGGAUUUCCAGGGCUGUGUGGAAUCAAAAAAUCUUCCUGCAUUUCCCCAGCCAUCUGGCCUCCAGGAUGACUAUUUCACAUCUCCUCAAGCCUUUGACAUCUCAUCCCCCUCACACUUGAUGCUUUUGCUUCCUAUUUCACUGGGAAAGUGAAGUAGAGACGGGUUUUCAUCAUGUUGGCCAGGCUGGUCUUGAGCUUCUGACCUCGUGAUCCACCUGCCUCAGCCUCCCAAAGUGCUGGGAUUACAGGCGUGAGCCACCGUGCCCAGCCAAAGAGCGUAGAACCAUGCCUGGCACACAGUGGGCAUCUAGACCCUUUGUUGAGUGGUGAAAUUGAAGUGUGACAGGGUGUGUGGCUUCCCUGCUCCGGCUCCCUCAGUUCCCAAAGCUGUGCUCCUUCCUGGAUCUCAUGUAGCAAAAGGAGGCAUCCGUGGGUCGUACCACAUGGCUUCUAGAGGAGUAUGUGUGAGUGUGUUCAGGCUCAU
rnacentral:sRNA from 1 species